rnacentral:rRNA from 1 species
UGGGGAAUAUUGCACAAUGGGCGAAAGCCUGAUGCAGCAACGCCGCGUGAGUGAUGAAGGCCUUCGGGUUGUAAAGCUCUGUCUUCUGGGACGAUAAUGACGGUACCAGAGGAGGAAGCCACGGCUAACUACGUGCCAGCAGCCGCGGUAAUACGUAGGUGGCAAGCGUUGUCCGGAUUUACUGGGCGUAAAGGAUGCGUAGGCGGAUACUUAAGUCAGAUGUGAAAAUCCCGGGCUUAACUUGGGAACUGCGUUUGAAACUGGGUAUCUAGAGUGCGGGAGAGGAAAGUGGAAUUCCUAGUGUAGCGGUGAAAUGCGUAGAGAUUAGGAAGAACACCUGUGGCAAAGGCGACUUUCUGGACCGUACCUGACGCUGAGGCAUGAAAGCGUGGGGAGCAAACA